CUACGGGAGGCUGCAGUGAGGAAUAUUGCACAAUGGGGGGAACCCUGAUGCAGCAACGCCGCGUGGAGGAUGACGCAUUUCGGUGUGUAAACUCCUUUUAUAUGUCAAGAAAAUGACGGUAGCAUAUGAAUAAGCACCGGCUAACUCCGUACCAGCAGCCGCGGUAAUACGGAGGGUGCAAGCGUUACUCGGAAUCACUGGGCGUAAAGGACGCGUAGGCGGGUCGGAAAGUCAGGUGUGAAAUCCUACAGCUUAACUGUAGAACUGCACUUGAAACUUCUAAUCUAGAGUAUGGGAGGGGGAGAUGGAAUUAGUGGUGUAGGGGUGAAAUCCGUAGAUAUCACUAGGAAUACCUAAAGCGAAGGCGAUCUCCUGGAACAUUACUGACGCUAAGGCGUGAAAGCGUGGGGAGCAAACAGGAUUAGAUACCCCUGUAGUC
rnacentral:rRNA from 1 species